UACGAAGGGGGCUAGCGUUGCUCGGAAUUACUGGGCGUAAAGCGCACGUAGGCGGCUUUCUAAGUCGGGGGUGAAAUCCUGGAGCUCAACUCCAGAACUGCCUUCGAUACUGGAGAGCUUGAGUCCGGGAGAGGUGAGUGGAACUGCGAGUGUAGAGGUGAAAUUCGUAGAUAUUCGCAAGAACACCAGUGGCGAAGGCGGCUCACUGGCCCGGUAUAGACGCUGAGGUGACGCAACGGAGGGCAAAC
rnacentral:rRNA from 1 species